rnacentral:rRNA from 1 species
UGAGGAAUAUUGGUCAAUGGGCGAAAGCCUGAACCAGCCAAGUAGCGUGCAGGAUGACGGCCCUAUGGGUUGUAAACUGUUUUUGUAUGGGGAUAAAGUCAAUCACGUGUGAUUGUUUGCAGGUACCAUACGAAUAAGGACCGGCUAAUUCCGUGCCAGCAGCCGCGGUAAUACGGAAGGUCCGGGCGUUAUCCGGAUUUAUUGGGUUUAAAGGGAGCGUAGGCUGGAGAUUAAGUGUGUUGUGAAAUGUAGACGCUCAACGUCUGACUUGCAGCGCAUACUGGUUUCCUUGAGUACGCACAACGUUGGCGGAAUUCGUCGUGUAGCGGUGAAAUGCUUAGAUAUGACGAAGAACUCCGAUUGCGAAGGCAGCUGACGGGAGCGCAACUGACGCUGAAGCUCGAAGGUGCGGGUAUCGAACAGGAUUAGAUACCCUGGUAGUCCGCACGGUAAACGAUGGAUGCCCGCUGUUGGUACCUGGUAUCAGCGGCUAAGCGAAAGCAUUAAGCAUCCCACCUGGGGAGUACGCCGGCACGGU